CGCGUAGGCGGUCCUGUAAGUCAGAUGUGAAAGCCCGGGGCUUAACCCCGGAAGUGCAUUUGAAACUAUGGGACUUGAGUAUGGGAGAGGGAAGUGGAAUUCCUGGUGUAGAGGUGAAAUUCGUAGAUAUCAGGAGGAACACCGGUGGCGAAGGCGACUUCCUGGACCAAUACUGACGCUGAGGCGCGAAGGCGUGGGGAGCAAACAGGAUUAGAUACCCUGGUAGUCC
rnacentral:rRNA from 1 species